CACUAAAGUUCAUGCCGCAGUCCGCCACGAUGCACGCCACCUGUGGUGCCCCGACUUUGCUUUUGAGAUCGUGAAGCACGCCGGGUCCUGUGUGGUGUCGCUAUUGGACGGGGGCAGGCCGUCAGGAAUGGUUGCGAAGCAGAAGCCCGGGAGUCCGGCUAUGGCUUCGGGACCGUGGGAGCGGACGAGGCGGCGUUGGUUGUACUCAGUGUUGACGAAGGUGACGUGGAAGCCCCUGCAGUGAAGGACCUUGGCCAGCUUCACCAUCGGAGUGAUGUGGCCCUGGGCCGGGAAUGGCACGCACACCGCGUGGGGCUUCUCAUCGGCUGGAGUAGCACCCAUGGCGUCGCCUAGAAAGGUAGACAUGAAAAUCUAGAUUGAUAUCGCACUUUCUGUAGGAGAAAGUGCGACCUUCACUGCUUGUAAUGGCAAUCACACAGCACACAGUCCAUAUACC
rnacentral:rRNA from 1 species